UUUCGGAUUCAUUGCGUUUGGACCGAAAAUCGACGAUUUUCCAGAAAUCACUGUAUAAACAUGGCUUGCACAAAUUCUGAUAGUUAUAUUCGAAGAAUUAUAGAUAACUUUGGAUUCAUUGCGUUUGGACCGAAAAUCGACGAUUUUCCGAAAAUCACUGUAUAAACAUAGCUUGCACAAAUUCUGAUAGUUAUAUUCGAAGAAUUAUAGAUAACUUUGGAUUCAUUGCGUUUAGACCGAAAAUCGACGAUUUUCCGGAAAACACUCUAUAAACAUGGCUUGCAGGAAUUCUGAUUGUUAUAUUCAAGAAAUUACUGAUUUUUUUGGAUUCAUUGCAUUUGGCCCGAAAAUCGACGAUUU